AUCAUUCCAUAUUCAAAUAAAUAAUGUACAUUGACAUGAAUUAACGUCAAAAGCUCUAAACAUUUAAUAAAAUGUUAGUGAAUAACAUUGCGACUAUUUUGCGUACGAGUAAAAAUUAUUUUAUUGUACCAAAACGAACGUGGACUCAAGUUGGGCACGUUAUUUCUAUUCCGCCCAGAGUAAAAUGUUCAAAUACGGAAAAGUUAUUGCACAUGAUCUUCAUAGUCACCAUGUGGUUGACACCAGCACUCUAUUUUCUAACCCAAAUAAAAGUGUGGCGGCGGAAAUACAUUGAAUAAAGUUGUAUUGAAAGUUAAAUAAAAUUUAUUUUAAAUA